rnacentral:snRNA from 1 species
UGCGCAGUGGCAGUAUCGUAGCCAAUGAGGUUUAUCCGAGGCGCGAUUAUUGCUAAUUGAAAGUCAACAUUAGGGCUGGAGAGAUAGG